AAUGCUAUGAUGAGAUUAAACACUGGAAUGUGUUGAUGGGCAGUGGUUCUGAUCUCUCAAGGUCUAACCGUGAGCCCCUCUAAUAAACGACUUCUCCUUCCACUGAGCAUU
rnacentral:snoRNA from 1 species